rnacentral:misc_RNA from 1 species
UUUCCGUAGGUGAACCUGCGGAAGGAUCAUUAGUGAAAUAACCUGGGACUUUAUGUCCCAAACCAUCUCACAUCUACACACAUCUGUGCACUGUUGGACAGGCUUUCUUAAAGUCAUGUCCUUUUAAAUAUGUAAACAUCUUAUGUAUGUAUGGCAAGUAACAGUAAAAUAAAAAAAAGUUAAAACUUUCAACAACGGAUCUCUUGGCUCUCACAUCGAUGAAGAACGCAGC